GACGAACCGUGCGAACGUUAUUCGGAAUCACUGGGCUUAAAGGGCGCGUAGGCGGGCCCGCAAGUCAGGGGUGAAAUCCCACGGCUCAACCGUGGAGGUGCCUUUGAUACUGCGGGCCUGGAGGGAGGUAGGGGCGUGCGGAACUUCCGGUGGAGCGGUGAAAUGCGCAGAUAUCAGGAGGAACACCAGCGGCGAAGGCGGCAUCCUGGACUGGUCCUGACACUCAGGAGCGAAAGCGUGGGGAGCGAUCCGG
rnacentral:rRNA from 1 species